rnacentral:lncRNA from 1 species
GCCCUCUUUGGCUCAUCCACUUGGGGAACGUCUCAUCCUUCAAGGCCCAGUCUAGAAGCUUCUCAGAAGCUUUCUCUGAUGCUCCACUGCACCCCAGGCAGGUUUCAUUGUUCUAGCCUGGUGGUCCCAUCUCACACCUGACCGUCAUGCUCAGAGGAGAUUUGGUGAGAAGAGAGGAAGUUAUCUGACUGGACUGUCAACACUAUGGCCUAAGCACUCACCGUCGGAUGCAGAGGAUGGAAGGCGGGCUCUCUGGCCCCAUCAGUAAAGGGAACUGUGAGCCUUGAGCCCUCCACACUUUCCCGGUCUUCCUUGGGAUCCAGGGCUGGCUGGGCUCGUGGCUACUGUCUGCAGCUCCAAAUCAGAGGAGAGCUAACGAUUACAUGUGAGCCUGGAGACCCAGCCUCCCCCGCGACUGCCUGGGGCUCCACCUAACCCCUGAUGGGUAGCAGCUGCCAAGAGGAAAAGCAGAGAAGGCUGAGGAGAAGAGAAGGAGAGAGGAGGCAGUCAGACCUUGUCCUGACACAUUAGUGACCAUCCUCACUCCCAGGCUGGGAGGAGAGCCAGCAGUGGAGCACGGCCUCGGUCCCACUCAGGAGAUCCGGCGAUUCACACUUGCUAAAUGGAAGUCAGUGUCAAACCCUUGAUUUUUGGCCUGUCUCCCACGGCCAAGGCUGCUUGUCACUGAACUGUCAUCACUGGGGAAGGGGCGAGAUGGACUAAGAAGAGAGACAACGGCCGAGCCUCAGGUCUUGGGAUGACAACGGUAACAACUCCAAUAUUAAGAGCCCCUGGCACUGAGCCCUUCCCUCCGUCAUCUCAUCCAUCUUUACUACGACCUAUAACGUGAGGACUAAUAUUCGACCCACUUUAACGACAAAGAGAGUGAAGCUUAGCCUGGUGUCUCCCUGAACUCCACACUGGCUUGACAUCACCAACUGGACAUCCAACAGCCAUCUCAAAUGCACACGUCCAAGGAUGUGGAGAAACCAGAAGCUUCUUCCCCUGCUGGCGGGAAUGUGAAACGGUGCAGCUGCUCUGGAAAACAGUGUGGCCGUUGGGUUAAACACAGUUACCACGUGACCCAGCAAUUCCACUCCUCCGUAACAACCCGAAAUGAAAACAUAGGUCCACACAAAAACUUACACAUGAAGCUGUCACCAAAGUAAAGUAUCAAAAUUCACCAAUUAUUUACUUGUUUAAGUCAAUUAGAGUCAAA